AAGGAUCAUUUCGAAAUUAUCCUACGCGAUUAUUUAUGGAUCGAUGAAAUUUGUUCAAAUUAUGGAUAAAAUUUAAGUAAGUCUGAAAAAUUCUCAUACUGUAGGCAAAUUCAAGUGGUAGGUUUUUGCAUAAAUGCGUAUUUAAUUGAAACUCUUUAUCGUAGUUCACUCAUUUUUUAUCCCGUAUAUAGACGAACCUAAAACCCAGUGAGAACGUGACACAUAACCAACUUAAUGUAAAUGAUAAUUUUCCAUGGCCCCACCAAUGACCGAUCUAACGCUCUCAAUUAUAUAAGCACGCACCCAAUUUCACUGCAAUUUCAUAUCUUCUUCUACAUUCCAUUUCCACCACAUCCCAACGCUGGCGAGAUGAGCCCACAAUCAUUCGGUUGGCUCCGCCGCUGGUCUCCGACGGCUCUCUUUUACAGACAGUGUAUUCAUUGGUUACAGUCGGAGGCAAUACUACGCACUAAGUAAAUGCUCAACUACAGUCGCCGGUCUUCAAUGUGGGGAGCGAAUUGAACGACUGAAAACAGAGGGCUAAUUUAGUAAUUGUCUGAUUUUUAAUUGAGGAAGUCAGAUAUAUAUCUGGGCAUUUUGCAAAGUUAUGGUAACUGCACGUCUGCACAUUUCAGCUUUAAACCAGCGGGCCGAUGCCCAAUACUCGGGACACUCAGAAACGGCUAGAAGAUGUGAGAUUCAAAUCCGGUGGAGUGAUGAAAGGAGCAAACCUUCGUCUACAAAAAAAAUCUGCAAUGAAAAGGAGUUGCAAUGAAAUCCAUCUGGGUGAUAUUGGGGGUGAUUGUGCAUCUACUGAUUCUCUCACAAUGCAUGAGGCAUCCAAAUGGUAUUUCUAUCUCCGAUCAGAGGAAGCCCUUAUUUUCUCAAUCGAAUCCGGCUGCACCGCCGCCGAUGGAGACAGUAUUUGAACCGGAAUCUGAUCCCCCGCCAAGGCAACCUCCUCCCUCUUGCCGGCCUUUUUGUUGAUGAGUUUUGAAGGUGUAAGAGAGCAGCAGAUAUACGGGUUGGAAGGAAAACAAGAAAUCAAGAGGAAGAUACACACACAAAACAAGAUACUAUAUAGGUUUCUCUUUCAUACUUGUAUGGAUGCAAGAUUUGUGAUGCUUUGUUUAUUUAAUGUUAUUUGAGGAGUAGCAUUUAUCGAAUAAAGGGAUACUGUAACUCCUCAUUCUUAAUUACUUCAUCAUCUGUCAAAUAUUAAUACAAAAGAGUCUUGGCAAGAAUUUUUGCUGAAA